rnacentral:tRNA from 1 species
AAAAAGGUAGUUUAAGAAAAAUACUAGUUUUGGGGGCUGGUGAUGGGGGUUUAUAGCCCUCUCUUUUGA